CCCACCACUCUGAAUGUAGUGCACACUUAAGAAUUUAUAUGGCUCAGCGUUGAGGCUGAGACAUGUUCUUUUAUAACUUGUGACGUAGCGAGCGUUUGAGAUAUCUAUCUAAACGUGUCGUUGAGGCUAAGGCGGGGACUUCGAGUCCCUAAAUAAUUGAGUCGUAUGUUCGCGUUGGUGGCUUUGUACCCCACACAACACGGCAUGACCCUGAGGCAACUUGGGGUUAUAUGGUCAAGCGAAUAAGCGCACACGGUGGAUGCCUAGGCGGUCAGAGGCGAUGAAGGACGUGGUAGCCUGCGAAAAGUGUCGGGGAGUUGGCAACAAGCUUUGAUCCGGCAAUAUCCGAAUGGGGAAACCCACUGCUUCGGCAGUAUCCUGCAGUGAAUUCAUAGCUGCUGGAAGCGAACCCGGUGAACUGAAAUAUCUAAGUAACCGGAGGAAAAGAAAUCAACCGAGAUUCCCUAAGUAGUGACGAGCGAACGGGGAGCAGCCCUUAAGCUGGAAUGGCUUUAGAAAAACAAUCUGGAAAGAUUGGCCAUAGAAGGUGAUAGCCCUGUAUUUAAAAGGGCCACUCCAGUGAAGACGAGUAGGGCGGGGCACGUGAAACCCUGUCUGAAUAUGGGGGGACCAUCCUCCAAGGCUAAAUACUCCUGACCGACCGAUAGUGAACCAGUACC
rnacentral:sRNA from 1 species